AUUUUUUUUUUUCAAUUCUCUUUACAGAUGGGUGAGAACGGCAGGCAUCGAAAUUGAUGUGAAUCACUCUUGAAAUGCAAGUAGCUUUUGAGAGGGAUUCUAGCUACAGCAGCACCAAUUUGUAAUUAGUGUCAAUUUAGAGUUAAAAUGAUUUUUAGUUUUAUCCAGAUUACUUAUUGCACUAUAAUGUUUUAUCAUAUUAUAGUAUAUCAUUGAAUUUUUCCUUGCCGACCCUCAAAUCUGAUUUGGUGCCGCUGUAGUUUCCUGUCGUUGGCGUCAUGGCAAAAUAUUGGAGCAAAUGCUUUAAUGUCUUGCUCCUCCCCGUGGUCUCACCUGGGAAGAAAUUAUAUGCUUCAAAUUGCCUCUGAAAGGUUGAAUUACUUAUCACUCCAGAUCAGGAAUAAGAUAAGUUACGUUUCUAUUGCCAGCAAAGAGCAUAUGAUUUCUUGCUAAACGCCUAAAAUAGGGAUUUCAGUGGGUUUUUUUACAACUAUCGCUGAUAAUUAAACCACUUCAGAAUCUGCCAGACCCCAGAAUUGAGCAGCCAAGGGCACAUACUUGAGUUUUAGUGAUGUCUUCGCCAACCACCGGGGAUCUUUGACUCCAUUCUUCGGUUGAAUUUCCAUGAAAGGAGUUUAAGCAAGAUCUGCUUGUCAAGGUUCCAAGUCUGGAUCUUUGACCACGCUGACCUUACAGUGACCCGCAGUCUUCAGUUGUCUCAUCUGGCCUGCCAACUUGGUAAGGAAACCAACAAGAUCCAGCUCUUUGGUCAUUUCUUGAAGUCCCUCAAUGCUCUCCUAUUGUUUUUGAUUUACUAAUCAAAAUGUUAUUGCCUGAGCCCUUACUAGCCCAGCCAAAAAGAGAAUGUUUUCAAAAAUUUAUGGCCAUUCUAGAUGUACUGCAUCGUUCAAUUGUGCUUAGAUUUUUCUACUUGGUGCUGCAAACACUAGGAAUCAAAUCUGUAAAUAUUGUGAUAAAUAUGUGUGAGCUAUUCACUCCAUUUGUAAGUUGUUUGCAUAGCAAAGCACAUCUAACCAAACAUGAGUGUUGGCGCAUGAUUAAGAGGGGUCAGGACAAAAAAAAUAAAAUAUUUUCGGUUUUGUUAUCUAAAAAAUUAUCUGUGACCCUUCCUGAGUUUGUGGCUGUUUACUUUGUUAAGAAAUACAAAAAAUUGUGAUCGUGGGAUUUUUUCUUGUGAUUAUUCAAACCCGAAAUUGCUUAUUAACAUUAACUUAAGAUGAGUUUUCUUUGGAACUGUAAUUUUCAACCUUGUGUGCAAAGGUUCUCCUCCACCCUUAACGCCACAGCUAUGAAACUUUGCACUCCUUAUUUUUAUAGUAUUUUCAACAACUUGUCACAUGAUUGUUUUCAAAAUUCCUACCCAUUGAUUUUGAAGCAAAUCUUUUAGGGUUUAAAACGGCAUAAUUUUGGUCAUGAAACUUUAACUUCUUUUAAAAAUCAGCAAGUGACAAUAUCAAGAAAAUCCUGUGACAAGUUUUAGGUAUUCAUAUGACUAACUUACAAAAACGUUUCAGCAUUUUAGUGCAAACCAUAACUGAGAAAUGUUGGGGGCAAAUUUUUUACUGUGUUGUAAUAACACUUUCCAAGCAUUGUUGUUCAGGGUGACUCUUGAGUUAGUAUUCUUUUUAGGCCUGGAAAAUUGCCACAAUAGACCAAUCAUUAAAUGCUAUACCUUGUUCACA